rnacentral:lncRNA from 1 species
GCGGCCGAGCGCGGGGAGGGAGGGGAGAGCGGGUCACGACGCUGCCGGGGCGGGGAUAACCCCUCACGUGGAGCAGAUGAAAGGGCCGCGGCGCGACGGCCGGGGAAACCGAGUGGAGCCUGCGACCCACAAAGCCGCUGCCGCCGCGAUGGGGCUGUGAGGCGUCCGCCCUAGCUCGGUCCUCCGCCGGCCCGCGACUAUGCCCGGCCGCGCCCGCCCUCCGCGCCCUCCCGCCGCAGGACCAUGAGGCCGCGCUCGGGCGGGCGC